ACACGGAGGUCGCAAGCGUUGCUCGGAAUCACUGGGCGUAAAGCGCGCGUAGGCGGCUUAUUAAGUCAGAUGUGAAAUCCCCGGGCUCAACCUGGGAACUGCAUCUGAUACUGGUAGGCUAGAGUUUUGGAGAGGGAAGUAGAAUUUCAGGUGUAGCGGUUAAAUGCAUAGAGAUCUGAAGGAAUACCAGUGGCGAAGGCGACUUCCUGGCCAAAAACUGACGCUGAGGUGCGAAAGCGUGGGGAGCGAACAGGAUUAGAAACCCUAGUAGUCC
rnacentral:rRNA from 1 species